rnacentral:lncRNA from 1 species
AUCAUCCUGCUACUUUACAUUAACACACAAUCUAGUUCCACCCGGGACGCAUCACAGGACACUGUGACAUCUUCAUUACUGGCGGACAGAGCCACCACUGGUGCUGACAUCAACAUUUCCUUCGGCUCUUCAAAGCUCUCUUCACACUGAGUAGACCACACAACCCUCUGGUUCUUCUUGAUCCAUCUGGCCAUAGGAGCGACAACUCUAGAGAAGUUCUAGAUGAACCUCCAG